UAUCAACAGUCUAUAAAAGUUUAAUCUUGACCAUAAGAUAUAACUUCCAUAAGCCUUUUAUAAGCUUUAUAACAUUUAUUAAGGAGUCAGUUAAUGCUUCAAGAAAACCUUGUUAAUCUGACUCAAGAGCCCAUAUGCUGGUCUUGCAUCAGUGUGCCUUUGACAUUAAUGAUUAACUUAUAGAGAAACUGAACUUAUUUUAUCUCUCAAAAUUGGCCAUUACAAUCUUACAUCCCUACCUCUUCUGUGAUAGUCCCAGGGCCUCAAGGAGUUGAAUAGCUUUAAUUUCUGGCCCUGUGUUUCAGGAAUACAGUUUAUUUUGAUUGGCAUCUUCUACUGGGUGUGAAAAUGAGGCUUUCAUUUUGGUCAGUGUUUAAGAUUUAGCAGGACUUGGUGUCCUUUUUAGACCCAGGAGUCAAAGCCCUGUAACUCAAUGUCACAAGGACUUUAAAAGCACAUACAGAAAGAUACAUGAAUGUAAUAACCUUAAUUAAAAUUUUUUGUUUCAUUCUUCAUCCUAAGCACACCAAAACUUAAUAAUAAUGGCAUAGGAAUAGUUUUUAUAAACCAUAAAAUCUGGUAGUCCAGUUACCAAAAGGCAAAAGAAAAGACCUUCUGCCCUCCACAGAACAUUAUGUUGGAAGAAAACAUUUCCUUUAGAUCUUUCAGAAAACAUUGUUAGCAUCAGGCCACAACAAACAGAACUCAAGGUAACAAAUUUAUAUGAACUGAAAAUGAGUUGAAGGGGAGUAUUACUAUUUUGCAUCCUUUAAAAGGGAAGAGAAAACUGAAAAUGGUGAGAUGCAAUAAAAGUUGAACUUUGAGUUUAAAAAAUUAAAAUAUAUUAUAAUUUGUUAAGAGUAAAACAAUCCCUUGGCUGGGUGUGGUGGCUCACACCUGUAAUUCCAGCACUUUGGGAGGCCGAGGCGGGCGGAUCAUGAGGUCAGGAGAUCGAGACCAUCCUGGCUGACAUGGUGAAACCCCGUCUCUACUAAAAAUACAAAAAAUUAGCAGGUGUGGUGGCAGGCGCCUGUAGUCCCAGCUACUCGGGAGGCUGAGGCAGGAGAAUUGCUUGAAACUGGGAGGUGGAGGUUGCAGUGAGUGGAGAUCGCGCCACUGCACUCCAGCCUGGGUGACAGAGUGAGACUCCUUAAAAAAAAAAAAAGAAAGAGUAAAACAAUCCCUUAAGAAAAUUUCAUUGUUCUAACCAAAUAUUUAGUGUGUAAGUGUUUUUUUCUUACAUCAAGCCUAAUCUCUAGAAAGACCAUUACAAUUUCCCUUUAAUUAUAGACAACUUUAACAUAUAAAAGUUUUUUGUAAUAUAUAAAUUCUCUUAUUGUGACUUACACAGACUGUUCAUGACAUGUUUGGACUUUCUGGUUUGUGCUGAACAUCCCUUUUCUUUAAACAACCUGUCAUUUUAUUCUAGGACUAAACUUACCAUAAAUGAUUCUUUCUCAUAUAAAAUUAUGUCUCUUUAAGCUUUCUUACAGGAAAAAAAAAACCUCUUUAUUUUUAAAACUUUCUUCAUAUCUAUUUCCUGGUUCCUUUUGCCUUGUUUUAUACAUAACCUUUAAAUAAGCUUUGAAUUAGACAAAAAUUUUUCACCUUUUAAAAAAUGACACACUUUUGAUUUUACAAAGAAUGCUUUCCUACAAUAUAUUAUUGGAAAAUACCCAAAUAAUGGAAUAUCUAUUAUUUAAUAUAACUUUAGAUUCUAAAUUAUAAUGAGUUUGUCUACAAGUAUUUAUCCCAUUACAUUUGCCCAAUUAUUUUAUUUUAAUCAUUUACCUAGAUUGUUUAUGGAAAUUGCAAUAGUCAUUAUUUAAAGUUAUGGAACUGCCAUUGCAAAAUUAUAACUGGGGCAGUAAAAAAGAUCUGACCUAACUGACUCCACCUUGCUUCUAACCUCCAACCUGUCCUUGUUUAUUCCUGUGCAUAGGCCAAACUAACUUUGGGAGGAACUUAGUUUAUAGUUUAGCUUUGAAACAAAGAUGGUAACAGUCCUUUUCCAAAACAUACCUUACUGCCUGUGGACUAGACCUCCUAAAGCCACAAGACAAGAAGUUAUGGUAAUCAUACUAAAUUCAAGAUGUAGCUAUUUUCAUUAAACCAAUAUCAAUGUCUUAUUUAUUAAAAAUUACAUAAGCAAAGAUAAUUCUGUAUUAGGUUGGGUUUAUAGUUUUGUAACCCCUGUGCCAAAUUUUGACACCUUAUAGAAUUUGGCAGGGAUAAGUAGGAAAUUGCUUGAAUAAUAAACACAAACAAAAAUGUAUGCUGGCAAUUUGUAAGACAUUUCUAAUAUUAAUUUAGCAAUAAUUUUAAAGCUAGCUUAUUUAUUAAAGAUUUUACUUAAGUUAUGUAAACUUGAAAAAGCAUUUGACUAGUCCUUUUUCCUGAUAACAUAUUUGAUUCAAGCACUUUUAUUUUCAUAAGCCAAUUAAUUAGAGUUCAUAUUUUCAGUAGUGAAACAUCAUGUACACAAUGCAUAAAUACAUAGAUGUAUUAGGUAUGCUGACAGAAGUACACUUUACAGAUUCUUAAAGAUCUUUUUUCCCUAUCUUAAGACUUUCAAAUUUUUUUUUGUUUCUUUGAGACGGAGUUUCACUGUGUUGUCCAGGCUGGAGUGUAGUGGCGUGAUCUCAGCUCACUGCAACCUCUGCUUCCCAAGUUCAAACAAUUCUUGUACCUCAGCCUCCUGAGUAGCUGGGAUUACAAGCAUGUGCCACCACACCUGGCUAAUUUUUUUGUAUUUUUAGUAGAGAUGAGGUUUCACCAUGUUGGCCAGGCUGGUCUUGAACUCCUGACCUCAAGUGAUCCACUUGCCUCAGACUCCCAAAGUGCUGGGAUUACGGGAGUAAGCCACUGUGCCCAGCCUCAAUUUCUUGAUAACCUGUUUUACUACCCUAGGCAGUUGUCAGCUAACUAGCCUUAAAUUUGCAUAUUAAAGGAAACAGGUGAAAAUCAAACAGCAAAAUUUACAUUAUAAGGUACUGAAAGAAAAAGUCUCCUGUGCUAGAAGGAAGUUAAAAUGGAUUUAAUUGCCAAUUCAACAUAAAAUUACAUAAAUUAUAAAGGCCUUUUAAAUAUGCACACACACAAACACACACACACACAAAAUCUUAUAGCUUUUACUUCAGAACUUAAGCCAUGAGGCAAACACAAAUUCACCUGCUUGCAAACAAACAGCUUGCUGAGUCCAAACAGUGCUUUGUAUCUUAAUAGAAAAAUAACAGCAGAUUUAAAGCUGGCAGAAAGGAAAAUAGGGAAAAAAGAGAACUUAGGAACUCUAUAGUUUGCAGGUUGACCUUAGUGCUCUUUUUCAUUAACAUAUAUAUGCACAAAUACCAUAUUACUUCCAUUUCACAUAAACUCUGGCAAGUGGAGGUGCCAUAAAACCUAUGGAGUGCUUGAAAGGGGAUCAUUCUCCUUGUUUUCUCCUCAUUCUUAGAUUAUUAUUUUCUCAUUUUUUUUCUUAAAAUAACUGAGCUGUGGCCUAGCGUUUUUGUGUGGUGAUGUGUGCUGCUUGCACUCAAGACUCCACAGUGUGUUACCAUUGAGUCAUUUUCACCCUCUUAAGUGUUUCAGUUUCUCUCUCCAGAGGUCUAUGACCUGUGAGAGGACUCAAAACGCCAGGUGACCAGCCCUUAUAUGCAUUUCCUGGAUGAGCCUUUUUAAAAAAUAAUUUUUGUUGGGUGUUUCCCUGUAGGGCUGCUGCACAGGGGUUCAACCCCCCUAACCCCUUGCCCAGAUACACCCACAAGGCCUCUGGUCACUCAGCUGAGUCAAGUAUGUACUACAGUUAAUUUUGUGUAGUUUAAUACUGCCUUUACAUUUGUUUAUAUUUUUCUGAACUUCAAAUUGCACCAUGUAUGGUGUGUGUUUGCUUGUGUCAGUUUUGAUAAAUAACUUUUUAUAUUUUGUUAUAUGUUAUAUGCUCAUGACAUAACUUUUUCUUAAUUUUUUUGUUAUCUCUAGGCUAAGUGGUUCAUCUGAGUUUUUUCAAAUCGUCACAAAUCUCCAAAAAAAAUUCCAAUAUAUGUAUUGAAAAAAAUCCACAUAUAAGUCAACCUGCACAUUUCAAACAUUUCAAACCUGUGUUUUCAAUGGUCAACUGCAAUUUGGGUAAAGUGUAUGGAUUCCUGUAAAUUCCUUUAAAAUGCAUUUUAAAAGAUGAAUUAAAUGGAUGGGUAAAGGUACAGAUAGAAGGAUAGUUAUAUUGUUACUAUAGUAAAAUGUUAAUGGUAGAAUCAAGAUGGUGUGCAUUAGUGUUUGCUGUAAAAUGAAUUCAAACUUUGUUGUAUGUUGUAAAUAAAAUGUUGGGAGAAAAGAUGCUUUCACUUGUAAGUGCAAAUAAAAACUAAUUUUAUUUUUAAAAAUGCUAAAUAAUACAUUCUAAUAUUAUUAGUGACAGUGUAGAUAUAUAAGAACUCAUGUUUUUUUAAUUUUUGUGGUGAGUGUAUAAAUUAGUAUAAACUAUUUAGAAGAUAGCUUAAAAUUAUUGUAUAUAUUAAAAUAGUAAAGUGGCUGCCAACUUUGUAUUCUUACUUCCAAGAAUUUACUCCAUGGGAAUUAUCACACAAGUGUGCAAAGAUGUAAUCAAGACAUAAGUCUUGAUUAUAACAGAAAAAAUAUAAGCAAAUUAAAUGACCUGUUAGAUGAUUAAUUGAACAUCCAUACAACUAAAUACUAGGUAAGCAUUGUUAAUCAUAAUAUAGAUCUAUUAAUAUAUUUCUUAAAGAAGACGGUCCCCUCAUAUUGUUUAGUGACGAGGAUUACAGGAAUACAUAAAUGGUACAAUCCCAGUUUUGGUUAAUGCAUACAUAUCCAUAUACUCAUUUACAUAUAUUCAUGAACAUAUACAUCUAUAUAUGUAUUUAGACACAAAGGGCUCAUUAAAAGAAUAUUCAUCAAAAUGUCAAAAAUAUUAGCUCCAAGAGAUAAUAAUGAACCUGAUUUUUUAUUUUCUUCUUUGUACUUGUUUGCAAUUUUUACAAUGAACUCAUAAUCCUUUACAAAAGCACUAAUUAUUAUUUGAGGUUGUGUAGGGGGGAGUAAGACAGAAGGAGAAGGAAAUAUAGUCCAAUAAUGAAAUAAAAUGAAGCAGCCUUUAUGUGUUUGUAUGGAUUGAUCUCCAAGAUUUUUUAUGUGAUCAUUAUAGACUGAAGUGUGUUACACCAAAUUUCAUGCUGAACUUCUAAUACCCAAUACCUAAUAAUGUGACUAUGUUUAUAAAUAGGGUCUUUAAAGAGGUAACUAAGUUAAAAUGAAGUCAGUAAUGUAGGCCCUUAUCGAAUAUGAUUUAUGUCCUUGUAAGAAGAGGAAUUUUGUACAGAUAUUGACACAGAUUCUAACUUGACCAAACUUCAGUCAGGCUCCCUAACCUUCUCCUAGGCCCAUCUGUGCACCUCCUUGUAAAAUCUGCUUUAUCCAAAAACUCAUUUAGUAAGAACCCCUCUCCCCCAGUAGCUGAUCAACCGUGACAUCUGAUCAAGUUCCUCAUCCUCCACUAUCCCACAGGAAGAACACCAUGUGAACAUGAAGACAACCACCUACAAGCCAAAGAGAGAGGCCUCAGAGGAAACAACCAUGCUAACAUCUUCUUAUACUCUAGCCCCAAGAAAUGUGAGAAAAUAAAUUUCUGUUGUUUAAGCCAUUCUGUUCAAUCUGUGGUAGUUUGUUAUUGCAGCCUUAGCAGAUUAAUACAGUGAUAAAAGCAAAAACUGUAUCAAUAUAUAUAGCAGUGGCUUUCAAAUUUUCAAUAUAUAUAUAGCAGUGGCUUUCAAAAUUUCAAAUUUUUCACAAUCUACAAUAUGAAAUUAAUUUUACCACUCUACCCAGUAUGCAUAGACAGACAUAGCUGGAACAAAGAACAAAAUUUUUUCUUGCUAAUGUAUGUUGAUAUUUUUACUUGUUUGAUUGUAUUCCAUCAUUUCAUAUUAAGAAAGACACAAUAACUGAUUUUGCAACUGAUGAACUGGCCAAAUGUUAAAAAAUGCUAGAUAAGAAAUACUAUUAUUUGUUAAAACAACAACAAAGGCCCCAGCAAACUAGAUUCUUUGGAUAGAGGCAGAAGGGGCAUUUGUGAGCAUCUAUUUUUUAACUUUUUUUUUUUCCAAAAUAAAAUCUUAUGAGAAAAUCCAAUGUAUCAAACAGAUAAAUGCUGAGUUACUUUGGUAGACAGUGGUGGGGAGAGAAGUGGAGCCUUCCUACUUAUCCCUGACAGCCCUGAUGCAGCUCAACAGCACCAAUGGCUCUUGGGUACAGGACUUAAAAACCAAAUAUUUAUUCCACUCCUCUCAUUAUUUAGAAAGGGGGACAUUGGGGUAAGGGACAAAGCUGUUAGGAGGGCCAGGUGCAGUGGCCCAUACCUGUAAUCCCAACACUUUGGGAGGCUGAGGUGAGAGGAUCACUUGAGCCCAGGAGUUCUAGAUCAGCCUGGGCAACAUAGAAGACCCUGUCUCUAUAAAAAUUUUUUUUAAAUUUAAAAAAUUUGAAAGAUGUUAGGUGAUAUGGUUUGUGUCCCCACCCAAAUCUCAUCUUGAAUAGUAGCUCCCAUAAUUCCCACAUGUGUGGGAGGGACCAGGUAGGAGGUAAUUGAAUCGUGGGGACAGUUUGCCCCAUACUGUUCUUGUGAUAGUGACUAAGUCUCACAAGUUCUGAUGAUUUUUAUAGGGAGUUUCCCCUUUUGCUUGGCUCUCAUUUCUUCCUUGCUUGCUGCCAUGUAAGACAUACCUUUUCUCCUUCUGUGAUGAUUGUGAGGCCUCCCCACCCAUGUGGAACUGUGAGUCCAUUAAACCUCUUUUUCUUUAUAAAUUACCCAGUCUCGGGUAUGUCUUUAUCAGCAGCGUGAAAACAGACUAAUACAUUAGGAGAUUGAGAUUGCAAGUUCUAAGCGAGGAUUGUAUAGAUAUAGAUGUACCAUCAUUCUUCAAUAAUUGGGGAAGUGAGAAUCUCAAAUAUAAAAGAGGUCCAUCAAUAACAUCCAUCUCUUCUUUCCAUUAAAAUAAGAAAUAUAAAAGUAGAAAUAAUGCUUGGUAAAUGUGACACAUCUCCAGUAGGCUCAUAUACUAACUUAAAUCUUGUGCUGUUCCAUUGCCCUCUGCUGGAUGUUCUUAGUAUCUGUGGCCUCAAAACUAGAAGUUCUAGUAGUGGUAGUAGUCACAGCAAUAGUGAUUAUUAUCAUUAUUGUCAUUUUAGCAGCAGCCAUGUUGAGGUCAAGCACUGUGCCACAUGCUUUACAUCCAAAUCCUCCUAACAACUCUAUGGCUAGAUAAUGCUCUCUCAUUUUGUAGAUGUGGAACCUGGGGGUUCAGAGGUAAAUAAACAAACCAAGGUUACACAACUAAAAGUAAGAGACCCGGGAAUUAAAUAUUGGUUCUAAAGCCUAGGCCUUAAUUACUUGCUGUUCAUUAAACUUUCAAUCUGUCAGCUGUGUUGGUGAUAAAACUGGAAUGAUAUUACUAGUUGGGAUCUUUUGAUUCACUGAUUAUUAACAAUGGAAUCACAACGAUCUUUAUUCUAAAAAGCCAAAAAUUAUUAUCUUCCUAAAAUUACCAAAAAGGAAAAGCUUACUCCUCAACAGAGCAGGAGAGCAUGUUUUCAGAGUUUCUCAAAGUGUGAUUCAGGAAACUCCUGCAUUGGAAUCACAUGAGGUGCUACUUCAGGGCAGAAAAUCCUAUGCACCAGGAUGUAUUUUGGAGGUAGAGAGGACAGAGCUUGUUCCUGAGAGCUGGGAUAUGUGUUAGUGGAGUGAGUGUAGAGAGAAAGAGGAACAAAAGAUGGCUCCUAAAAUUUUUGGCUCAGGACAAAUUUUGAGGAGAGUAGUGGCAUUAACUGAGAUGAGAAAGAUUAUUAGAGGAGCAAGGGUUUUAAUUGUUAGUUCAGUUGUGGCAGUUACUUUUUUGGCAGCAGAUAUAAAACCAGGAGUUUGGGUUUAGAUAUUAUAUUUAUGUUGCCAUAUAGGUAACCAAAUAAAAAUGGUAGAGCUAACUACAAAUAACUUUUAAAAAUUCAGAUCUAUAUUUAAGAUCUAUUCAUGUUGUUUCACGUGUAUCUCUUUCUAAUUGCUGCAUAAUCCUUUGUAAGUCUAUCAGUAGUAAGAGACCAGAUUACUUCCAACUCCCGCCACCACAACCAACACAGCAGUGAGCAUCCUCCUAUACAAUCCUUUAAGGUCCUCUGCAUGUAUUCUUUUGUGGUAUAAACUCAGGAGUGAGGUAUACUCAAUUGGAUUCGAUACUGCCAGGUUACUCCCUAAAAUGGCUGUGCUGGUCUAUACCCUAUCAGCAGUGCACAAGAGUUCCUCUACCUUCACAUUUCUUUGAAUGCUAAUAACUAUCCAGCCUAAUUUUUCACUAGAUAAAGAGGCAUCUUAUUGUUUUAAUACAUAUCUCUCUGAUAAGUUUGAGUAUCUUUACACACUCGUUGGACUUUUGGGUUUCUGUAAAUUGCCUAUUAAUAUUUCAUUGUUUUUCUUUCUUUGCCAUGUGAUAACUACAUAUUUAUGGGAUAUAUAGUAGUAUUUCAAUAUAUGUAUACAAUGUGUAAUGAUCAAGUCAGGGUAAUUAAGCAUAUUCAUUAUCUCAAACAUUUAUGAUGUGAACAUUCAAAAUAAAAAUCCUCUCUUCUAGCUUUUUAAAAAAUACACAAUAUUUCCCUUACAGUGCUACAGAACACUAGAACUUAUUCCUCCUCUUUAGCUAUAAUUUCGUAUCUGUUAACGAACUUCUCCGUAUCCUCUCCUCCCCACUACUCUUCCUUCCCCACUACUCUUCCUUCCCCACUACCCUUCCCAGACUCUAAAAACCACAAUUAUACUCUCUAUGAGCUCUUUUUUGUUUUUUUGGCUCCUACAUAUGAGUGAGAACAUGUGGUGUUUAUCCUUCUGAGCCAUCUUAUUUCAGUUAACAUGCCCUCCAGGUUCAUCCAUGUUGCCACAAAUUAGAAGAUUUCAUUCUUUUUUAUGGCCAAGUAGAAUUCCAUUUUGUGUAUAUACACCACCUUAUCCAUUCAUCUUUUGAUGGACAUUUCAUAUCUUGACUAUUUUUAACAGUGCUACAAUAAACAUGAAGGUGCAGGAAUCUCUCUGAUACAUAGAUUUUCUUUCCUCCGGAUAAAUACCCAGUAGUGAGAUUGCUGGACUUUCUUAGCACUCAUGUUAAAAAUCAUUUGAACAUAUAGGUGAGAAGUUAUUCCUGGGCUCAAAAACAAACAAACAACAACAGACAACAGAUAAGGAUACAGCAUGGGCCGGGCACGGUUGCUCACGCCUGUAAUCCCAGCACUUUGUGAGGCUGAGGUGCGUGGAUCACCUGAGGUCAAGGGUUCAAGACCAGCCUGACCGACAGGGAGAAACCCCCGUCUCUACUAAAAAUACAACAUUAACUGGGCGUGCUAGCGCAUGCCUGUAAUCCCAGCUACUCAGGAGGUGGAGGCAGGAGAAUCGCUUGAACCCAGGACGCAGAGGUUGCAGUGAGCCAAGAUCGCACCAUUACACUCCAGCCUGGGCAACAAGAGUGAAACUCUGUCUCAAAAAAACAAAAACAAAAAACCAGCAUGAUUUCAGGAGCAGAAAGAGAAUAACUUAAAAACCAGCAUAAUGAGAAAGUUAGGAAGCUUCUUACCAAAGCAUCUGGAAGUAUGCAAGAAAUUCUUGUGAACUAAAAUUUUCGUGCUGUACUAGCAAACACUACAACUCACUUAUUCCAUCUUUCUGUAUUUUGGGACCCAAUUAUCCACUUCUCUUCAUUCCCUAUCCCACCCCUUUUCUUCCUAGCGUCUGCUAACCACCUUUAUACUCUCCACCUUCCUGAGAUUCCUUUUGUGUGUAUGUGUGUGAUGGAGUCUCUUUCUGUUGCCCAGGUUGGAGUAUACAGGCACAAUCCGGGCUCACUGCAACCUCUGCCUCCAGAGUUCAAGGGAUUCUUGGGCCUCAGCCUCCCGAGUAGCUGAGACUACAGGCACGCGUCACCACGCAUGGCUAAUUUUUUGUGUUUUUAGUAGAGACGGGGUUUCACCAUGUUGGUCAGGCUGGUCUCGAACUCCUGGCCUCAAGUGAUCCGUGCAACUCGGCCUCCCAAAGUGCUGGGAUUACAGGCCUGAGCCACCACACCUGGCCAAGAUUUUCUUUUUUGUUCCUACAUGUAAGUGAGGACAUGUAAUAUUUGUCAUUCUGUUCCUGGCUUAUUUCACUUAAUAUACAGACCUGAAAUCUCAUCCAUUUUUUCUGCAGUGGAGAGGAUUUUAGUCCUUUUUAGGCUGAAUAAUACUUCAUUGUAUGUGUAUACCAGUUUAAUUGACACAAAUUUCUAAAAAGCAAAUAUUUUUAAAAUGUCUCAGAAUGUGAAACUUUAGGGAUACUGUGCCCAUUUUAUUCUUUUCUAUUUCCCAUUUUAUGGAUAUGCAAGUGUAUAAUAAAACAGCAAUCAAUGGGUGUAUAAAUCUAUAACUUCAACAAAUGUAAAAUGAAAAUGCUAAGUGGUGGCUGGGCGCUGUUGCUCACACCUGUAAUCCCAGCACUUUGGGAGGCCGAAGCGGGCGGAUCACCUGAGGUCGGGAGUUCAAGACCAGUCUGACCAACAUGGAGAAACAGUCUGUACUAAAAAAAAAAAAAAAAAAAAAAAACAAAGUAGCUGGGUGUGAUAGUGCAUGCCUGUAAUCCCAGCUACUUGAAAGGCUAAGAGAGGAGAAUCGCUUGAAUACGGGAGGCAGAGGUUGCAGUAAGCCGAUAUCAUGCCAUUGCACUCCAGCCUGGGCAACAACAGUGAAACUCUGUCUCAAAAAAAAAAAAAAAGAAAAAAGAAAAAAGAAAAAAAGAAAAUGCCAAAUGGUAAGAAAAAACAGCAUAAUAAAAAUUUGUAUGGUGUUGAAGAACAAUGCAUUUGAAGAUAAUAUUUGAAGAAAUCAUAUUACAAUUAACUUCUGUUCUUACUCAUUGGUUUGAUGCCUCUAAAAACUUCAUCACUGGAACCACCUCUGGUGCUUUAAAAAAAAAAAAAAAAAAAAAAAAAAAAAUCCGCAUACCCACACAGGUGCAAGUAAAUCAGAAUCUCAGGUCAUGAGACCCAGGCCUCAUCAUUUGUAAGUGCCCCGGGUGAUUUGAUUCAAAGCCAAGAUUGAGGACCCGUGACAUGGAUCUCUACACAUAAUCUGCCUAAAUAGAUUCUCUACAAGCAGUUUAUAAAGAAGUUCCACAUGAACUCUGGAAGAGGAUAUGAAUUUGAUGUACAGUAUGUGCUCACUUAACAUCUUUGAAAGUCUCUUGGAAACUUCACCUUUAAGCAAAAUUAUGGAUAGUGAAACCACUUAUUCCUCAUCAACAUUACAACUAAACAACUUUGAACAAAACAAUGGUGUUGGAGGACCGGCUGUACAUUGUUUCUAUAAAGUCAAUUUUCAGGGAAUUCCAAAAUGAAGUGAGGACUUCCUGUAUAUAAAAAGAUGGUUGUGAUUCCACAUGGAUGACAGGGUUAUUGCUCAGAAACUAAAGGAGGCCGCCCAGGUAUAGAGGAUUCAGUCAUGAGGUUUAUGCUACACAAAAGAUCCCAGAAUACUCACCCAUUCCAGUCAAAGACAUAAUGAAAAAAGCAAUAUUCACAUAGG
rnacentral:lncRNA from 1 species